GAUGAACGCUGGCGGCGUGCCUAAUACAUGCAAGUCGAGCGAACAGACGAGGAGCUUGCUCCUCUGACGUUAGCGGCGGACGGGUGAGUAACACGUGGAUAACCUACCUAUAAGACUGGGAUAACUUCGGGAAACCGGAGCUAAUACCGGAUAAUAUAUUGAACCGCAUGGUUCAAUAGUGAAAGACGGUUUUGCUGUCACUUAUAGAUGGAUCCGCGCCGCAUUAGCUAGUUGGUAAGGUAACGGCUUACCAAGGCAACGAUGUGUAGCCGACCUGAGAGGGUGAUCAGCCACACUGGAACUGAGACACGGUCCAGACUCCUACGGGAGGCAGCAGUAGGGAAUCUUCCGCAAUGGGCGAAAGCCUGACGGAGCAACGCCGCGUGAGUGAUGAAGGUCUUCGGAUCGUAAAACUCUGUUAUUAGGGAAGAACAAAUGUGUAAGUAACUAUGCACGUCUUGACGGUACCUAAUCAGAAAGCCACGGCUAACUACGUG
rnacentral:rRNA from 1 species